rnacentral:rRNA from 1 species
AUUGAACGCUGGCGGCAUGCUUUACACAUGCAAGUCGAACGGUAACAGGCCUUCGGGUGCUGACGAGUGGCGAACGGGUGAGUAAUGCAUCGGAACGUGCCCAAUCGUGGGGGAUAACGUAGCGAAAGUUACGCUAAUACCGCAUAAGCCCUGAGGGGGGAAAGUGGGGGACCGCAAGGCCUCACGCGAAUGGAGCGGCCGAUGUCAGAUUAGCUAGUUGGUGGGGUAAAGGCCCACCAAGGCGACGAUCUGUAGCGGGUCUGAGAGGAUGAUCCGCCACACUGGGACUGAGACACGGCCCAGACUCCUACGGGAGGCAGCAGUGGGGAAUUUUGGACAAUGGGCGCAAGCCUGAUCCAGCCAUGCCGCGUGCGGGACGAA